GAUGAACGCUCGCUACAGGCUUAACACAUGCAAGUCGAGCGGAAACGGCAUCGAAAGCUUGCUUUUGAUGGGCGUCGACCGGCGCACGUGAGAGUAACGCGUAUCUAACCUGUUCCUCACUUGGGAACAACCUUGCGAAUGUAAUACUAAUGCCUAAUGCCAUCCCACGAAGGCAUCCGAAUGUGGUUCAAGGUUUAUCGGUGAUGGAUGGUGAUGCGUCUGAUUAGCUUGUUGGCGAGGUGACGGCCCACCAAGGCAACGAUCAGUAGGGGUUCUGAGAGGAAGGUCCCCCACAAUGGAACUGCGACACAGACCAAACUGGUACGGGAGGGAGCAGUAUGGAAGACUAGUGAAGGAGGGAGAGCCUGAACCAGCCAAGUAGCGUGCAGGAGGACGGCGCUAGGGGUUGUAAACUGCUUUUAAAGAAGAAUAGAGUGGGUAACGUGUGACUUUUUGCAGGUACCUAAUGAAUAAGGACCGGCUAAUUCCGUG
rnacentral:rRNA from 1 species